UAUGACACAAUUUGAUAAAAGCAAUUCAAAUUAGUGUGCCUGGUGUCAGGGACAGGGAGCAAACUAUAAUCUUGAGACAUCUGAAUUAGCCAUAAGGCCAGGAAUGGUGAAUGGAUCAAUUCAACAUUAGCAAUAGUAAAAUCAUUAACACAAAACAGGAGAGAGCAAAUUCACUUGGUGUAAAUUGAUUAGUUUUCAAUCCUUUUAUACCAUUUUGCACUUGUACUGAAUUGAUGUCUUUGCAGAGUUCAGGGCAAGCAUUUCAGCUUCUCUCUUCUCCACUUCAUUAGCUUCAACUUCCCUUCUGCCAUUGUCCUUUUUCUGUUCGCAAAUGCUGCUUCUCACCAGUUCACCAAGGACUAAGGCCUUGUUCGACAAUAGUUUUUAAGAUAGUGUUUAGUGAAUUCACCAAGGAUGAUGCAUGAGUAAUUUCAUGAUUUGAAGCAGGGGAUGAGAGUUUAUACAAGUAGUUGACAAAGAUCACUAACAUAUCAGGCAUACUGUAGUAUUAUAUCAGGGAAAAAAGGCUGGGGUACAAAGAUAAGCAGAAUGCUCCCUUGUUCCAAAAUACAUUGCAGUUCUCAGUGUUCAUAGAGUUUUAUAAGCAAUUUGAGAAUUACAAUGGAAGAAAAAAAAAAUGUCCUAUCUCAUAACUGUUUUUAAAAUAAGCAUAUUUAAAUGAAUAAGAGGAAACCCAUGAAAUUACCCUGAGAGAAUCAGAAUUGUGUAAGUGCAACCACAGAUUUCUAGGUUAAUGCAUUGGCACCUGCAACAAUCUCCAGUAUUUCUCCGGUAAUCUUUGCCUGGCGCUCCCUAUUGUAAACGAUGGAAAGGGUCUUCUUCAAUUCUACUGCAUUAUCAGUUGCAUUGCUCAUAGCGCUCAUCCUAGAAGCAAGCUCACUGGCCAGUGAUUCCUGCAAUGCCUUCAAAAUUUGACUAUUCAAAUAUAGAGGUAACAAGGCAUCAAGAAUCUGAACUGGGUCCUGCUCAAACUGCAAAAUGGGUGAGAAAUCUACUGUUUGAGUCCUAAAAACAUCUCUCUCUACAGUUAACUUCCCUUCUUUUGUUGUCAACCUGAAGAGUUCAUCCUCAGCAGCAUCCACACAGUUCCCAUUAAUGUCACAAAUCUCUCCCUUUGGUGAGAGUGGAAGCAAUGUGUGUAUGACAGGAUCAGACUUGACCAGUGACACAAAUUUCGUGUAUAAAAGCUCCACCUUAUCAACCUCUUCGCUAACAAAGAGUGAAAAUACAUCAUCUGCAAUUGCUUGAGCCUCUUUAGCUGUAGGGAGAGUGGUACCCUCAAGAAACCUAUCAACUGGGAUAUAAGGCCGCCUUACAAAAUAAGAGUUGCCCUUCUUUCCAACGCUAACGACAGUAUAAUCAAGUCCAAGACCCUGCAAUUCUGCAAUUCUUGCUUCUGCUUUUUUGAUAAUAUUAUUGUUGAAAGGUCCACAAAGACCUCUAUCACCAGUAACAACAACCAGAGCAACUUUCUUGACCGGCCUAAUUUUGGUGAGAGGCACAUCUAUGUCCUCAGUUUGGAGCUGUUCAUUAAUGUUGUAAAGAACUUCUACAAGAGUUUCAGAGAAAGGCCUACCAUUGACAACAGCUUCUUGUGCUCUCCUCACCUUUGCAGCAGCAACAAGCUUCAUGGCCUCGGUGAUCUUCUGUGUGUUCUUCACUGAAUUUAUACGACUUCGAAGCUCACGGAGACCACAAUGAAUUGGGGUCACAGAAGAGGAUCUUGAAGGGUUGCUGCUGGAUGAACUGUGAGUAGGAAGCUGAAAAGGGUUGAGAGAAGAGCGAAAAGAUAGUGAAGAGGUGUCAGAAAGAGAUGGUUUUGAGGACACCAACAUUGUCAGAUUCGAGCAAGACAUGUUGGUAGUGAACGUUCUGUAGCUCUAGCCAGAGAUCAAAAGAGAAGAGGAGGGAGUUCUGGCUUGUGGUUUUUAGUCUGUCAGAAUGGUUUACGCGAGUGUCUUAUCUUUUUCAUGUUUAUGGUUUAUGGUUUAGAGGAAAUGAGUGGAGGGAAGGGAAGGGAGAGGAUGAGGCUUUGGGAUAAGGAUUUUGACCGUUGGAGAUUGCUUUGGACAAGCAUUUGAUUCAUUUGCUGUAACAUUAUUGUACAUGUCUAAGCUGAUGUGGCAAGAUCUUUGUGGAAUACUGC
rnacentral:misc_RNA from 1 species